UCACCGUCUUAUCAAAAAAACAAAAAAAAAACUGACUUCACAGCCAUGGCUUCUUCGACACCGCCAACGGCGUCUAUGCCGUCGCCUGGUCUGAACCUCCGUCCAGCUCUAAAACCUUGCCCUCUCGCCGACCUGCAACCUCCUCCGCUCCCUCCACGAGCACACGCGCGAGGUUAGCUCCUCUGACUACAACCCCACGCACCGCUACUCGUUUCUCACAAGUCACGUGGGACAACACCGUGAAGCUCUGGACCGUUGACUGCCCCGCCUCCGUCAGCAUUUUCAAGGAGCACGCCUACUGCGUCUACUCCAUCGUCUUUGGUGUGAAAAGCUCGGAAUCUCGUUCCAGUCGUCAAUGGAGGCCUCCAAGACCUCCAGUACAACCUUGAGGAAUGCUUUUGGUCCUAAAUCACUGAUAUUCACAAGUUUGAUCCUUAUUUCAAUUACAGAGUCACUCAGGUUGCUUCAACAAGAACUUUGACUGGUGACCUUUCCAAUCCAUUGUUGGUUAAACCUCUUCAACCAGUUGUUGCGCCAGUGGCUACAGUAGCUCAGAAAUCUGAAGCACCUGAUCAUCUUAAUAAUUUAGUUGGCGCUGGGUAUCAAUCAUUUGAGAAUGCUGUUUUGAAGAAACUUGCACAGUUUGCCCAGAAGCAAAAAAUAAUAUUCAGAACUUAAGAAGCAUGAAGGGAUGGGUGAUCUCAAAAGCAAAGUUCAUGAUCUCAAUGGUUUCAGUGUAUAGGGAAUUGCUGUGGAGUUUCUCUCUCAACUAUCUCAAGAUAGCGCAGAGGAAGAACUAUUGGUGUUAACAGUGUUGAAUAGUAGUGAACUCUAUAGACAUCCAUUUGAUUGGAGCCAAAUUGUUUUUGUUUUUUGGGUUAAGGAAGCAAAGGUUUCCUUGAAAGGAUUUUUGGACCUUAAAUUUCUCUAAUCGAAUAAACCGUUUUGUGAAAUUGUAUCAAUAGAGACUUACAGCCCCGGCUGAUAUCGGUUUGUUGUUGGAUAUGCAGGGAACUGCUGUGGAGUUUCUCUCUCAACUAUCUCAAGAUAGCGCAGAGGAAGAACUCUUGGUGUUAAUAGUGUUGAAUAGUAUUAGAUACUAGGCAUCAGUUCCAGUAAGGGUGGUUGUUCUAUACAUUUUAUAUUUCAUAUUUACAGAUGAAAUUCUAUCAGCCAUAACCAUUUGUACCGAGGGAGGUGACAUUUAGAGCCCCUUGCACAUUAUCAUUUUAGGCUUGUAAUUUGUAUCAAAUAACAAAUUACUGGUGUUUUCUUAUUUUAUCCAAAAAAAAAAAAGGUCUUGAUGCUCAUUAUGUUGGCGAUCAGGACUUGUGGGA